rnacentral:lncRNA from 1 species
UGGCCCCCGGGUAGCCCUUUUCUAUUGGCACAGCUGCUGGCAUUCCCCUGUGCAAGCUUCCAGCUUGCUUAUGUAUGUUUGCAGCUCAAUGUUUUAGGCUGCUCUUUGUUAGGAAAAAAUAAUUUCUUGGGCUGAUUUCUCUUAAAAGGAAAGCUCUGCUGAGGACUCUUUUACCUUCACUAUCUGCCUAAAUAAUUUCUUUCUGCCUCCUGUAUCAUCGUGGCCACCAGUGGACCCACCACAACCACCACCAUCAUGACCACUACCAUCAGCACCACACACUGUCACUUGCAUCUGGCCACUGAAUGGGCCAGGUCUCUCCAGCAGCACUGCUUCCACAAAGCCAAGCCUGGUGGCUGAUAGGCGGCUUCUCUCUCAGCUGGGAGAGAUCUGUGCCUAAUGGUUGGGCCACUUGCAAGAGCCACUCACGCCAGCAAGCUCUUUUCCAAGGCAUACCAGACCCUGAGCCCAGGGUUCAUGAUUGGGCUCCACAUGUGUCAGCAGCUUUGGCAGGGAUGGCAGCAGAACUUGAGAAGCUGAGACCAUGUGCUAUGGUGCUGGGGAGGAGGAGAUGUGAAAACAACUCUUUUAGCAUCAUAAUGUUUUUCUUCAUCUGGACAUGAUAUUAAUGAGAUUCCUGUGAUAUGCUGUAACGUGUAGAUUGUGUAGUGAUCCAGUGAGGGGAUAUAGGACAUCCAUCCUGUGGGUAUCUGUCAUCUCUACCUGUUGGGAACAUCUCAAGUGCUGUCUUCUAGCUCUUUGGAAACACACUCUAGUAGAGUUAAGUAAGUAGAGAUAAGUAAGUAGAGAUAGGUAGGGACAGACAGGGACAGAUAGGGAUAGAUAAAGACCAGCAAAGACUUGGAAUAUAAGGUCAGUGCCCCAAAGAGGUACAAAAGUAGAGACUAGCAAAGACUAGCAGAGAUUUUCAGGGACAGAUAGGGACAGAUAGGGUCCUAUAGGGACUUGAAUGAGGAAGGUCUGCUGGAACAGAAAAAAUUAAAGAACAGAAAAAACUAAAACCAACCAGAUAAAUGAGAAAUCCCGUUACAAGUCUGCCGGCAGCAACAUAAGGUCAUUGCUCUAAAAAGGUACUGGUCAGUGCCCUAGAGGUACAAAGAAUGGGAAUUUUUUUAAUCAGGGUAACAUGAGGAAGAAUUUGGUUAUUUCUUUUCUCUUUUUUGUUUGGAGUUUGGUACAUACCAUCUUCUUGUCAUUAUUUCAGGGUUUAAGAUAAUUGUUUUGCCCCACCUAUAGCACCUAUAGAAAGUAGUGAACAGGAGAGGGAGAAUGAAAAUUGGCUUGUACCAUCUUUUAUGGCUACAGAAAGGCUAACUUUAGCUUUGGCUUUCGUGGAUUGUAAACGUGUGCUGGCACCUGUGAGGUGUGCAGAGGACUUGGGAGGUUUUCUCCGAGCUUGUCAAGAGGUGGGAACUGAGCUUCAUUGCUCUGCAGUAUUGACUCAGGAAAUGGCUACUUUGGUAACUGACAGAUCUAAAAGAAGCCAAGGGUCAAACCCUAAAGUGGGAAAGUGUUAUAAGUAUAGAAAAAUUGGACACUUCAAAAAAGAAGGCUGCCAGACCUCUGGGAAAAAGGGAUCUUAUAGUUCCCAUCUUAACAGAAAAAACACCAGGACUUUGCCCUCCUUGUAAUAGUGGAAAUCACUGGGCUAAUCAAUGCCACUCAAAAUUUCAUCAAAGUGGCAUCCCCCUGUUGGGAAACGAGAAGGGGGUCUGGACCCAGGUACCUCAAACUAUGAAGGCAUUCCCUGUCCAGGCCACAACUUCAUCUCAGGGUGGGUUUCCGGAGGCACAUUGGUUCCCUCUCCCUGGGAACACCUGGAAACACAGUAUUAGCUCUCCUAGAUAGAGAACAAAUUAUGUUAACUAGAGGAAACAAACUCACUAAGAUUCCCAUUGGUAUUUGGGGAUCUUUGCCAACAAGAUACAUGGGAUUGAUUUUGGUAAAAGCUGUCUUACAGGCCCAGGAGUUGUUGAUUUUGAUCGUGAAGGAGAAAUUCAGGUAGUGGUAAUGUCACAAGAUCUUUGGGUUUUUGAAACGGGAGAGUGUAUUGCUCAGUUGUUGCUUAUUCCCUGUAAAUUGUAUCGUUCUCUACCCAAGAAGAAAGAGGAGGUCAGGGAUUUGGAAGCACACCUAAGAGAUUUAUCUAUCACAAUGCAUAGCAUCUCACAGACCCACUUGUGCAGUGUAGAUUGAAGAAAAGUUUUGUGGGCUUAUGGAUACGGGAGCAAGAGACUGGUCUCUCGUGGUAAUAGAUCUUGAAGAUUAUUUACGAGAAGGAGAAGUCUUCAUUUGCUUUUUCUGUGUCUUCUGUUAAUCAGAAAGAUCCUGUCUCUUCUGUGGAAAGUUUUACCCUGCAGUAAUUAACCAAAGAGGCAGAAGCUGAGUUUUACAGCUUGUAGAACAAAUGCUCAGCAACGGCAUGCCUCCUGGCUACAGCCACAAGAGCCUUUGCCUUUGUUUCAGUAGAUUUACUAACGUGGGGAUGAGGGUAUGCUUGUGUCCUUACAGAAGAUGAACAAACCAUGUGGGUGCCCUCAAGGUGUGUAUGACCAUGGAAUGGGAGACUGGAAGGACCCAUGGAUCCCAACCAUGGACCUGGUUCCCCAGUAUGAGCCAUGAACCACUUGAAUUUGAAUGCGAAGAUGAAACGAGGACCAACCGGAGUCAUGCUGACAUCAACCCCGAUAACAUGGGGACAGAUCAGGAAAACCACACAGGAAGCUGAGAAACUGCUGGAGUGCCAGGGUUUCACCUUUUGCUGGAACUCAGAGCUUGGUGGACAGCCUGUGGAUAAAGUGAAGGUAAAUGCUGUCUAAAAUGAGGAGAGGACACACACAAACACACUGAAAAGAAGUCCGUCUGAAGGUGUAGACAGAGACUCAAGUCAUGUUGCCAAAGACCAAGGAAUGUCAAGGAUAUCUGGGAGUCAGCAGAAGAAGCCAAACAUCAUUUUGUGAGGACACACAGGUACUUCGAAGAAGCCAGUAGACAUUUUGUAGGACAUACAGGCAGCCGAUGGAGAGGCCCACAUGUGGAAGAGCUAAGGCUACCUAAGUGAGCAACCACCAGAAUGAGCUUGGAAUGGCAUGCUCCAGCCUCAGUUGAAACUUCAAAUAAUGGCAGCCCCAGCUAACAGCUUGACUGUAACCUCAUGAGGACCCUGUGCCAGAACCAUGAGGCUAAGCUACUCCUGAUUCCUAACCCACAGAAACUGUGACAUAAUAAAUAUUUGUUAGCUUAAAUUGGUAAGUUUUACAGUAACUUAUUAUGCAGUCAUAGAUAACUAAUAUAAGUAGUUCAUUAGAAAAGUAAAUGGUAUCAAAGUAUAAUCAUAUAGGUGAUAAUAAAUCAUGUGUAUGUAUUUUUCACAUAACCCCCUGAAAUUCAUGACAUGAUAAUAUGAUGAGU